GUGCUCGCUUUGGCAGCACAUAUACUAAAAUUGGAACAAUACAGAGAUUAGCAUGGCCCCUGCAAAAGGAUGACAUGCAAAUUUGUAUUUAAAAAAAGAAUUAAU